GGGCGUGGGAAGGGUUUGCUCUGGGACAAAGACAGAGGAUUUACAGGGACUGCUGUUGACCUCUGGGUAGUUCAAGAGGCUGCUCCGCCAAUUCCCCCCAACCCCGACAGGGUAUGUAGAGUGCAGCGGGAGAGAGGGGAGAUGACGCUACGCUGGGUGUUGGGGGCAGACAACUAGGCUGGGCGCUCGGGAGGGCCAGGGCUCAGGUUGUGUGCCCAGCUGAAGCUAGGAGAGCCUCCAUAGCCACGCAGCCCGCAGCCCUCAGCCCUGCGGAACUGGCUCGACAGCGACAUCGUGUGGCAGGUAUAGAAUCGUGGCUUCUCUACCGGAUAAGUGAGCCAAAGGUGUCCUGAAACAGUUGCAGAAGAAAGUCAAGUGACAACGAGGAUGCUGCUGAUCAGCAGGCUGGAAAGGGUGACUGUCUUGCUGAUGGUGUUACACAAUGAGCAAACUGCAGAUGAUUCCACCAGAGGGCAGUAGAGCACAGUGUUCAGAGUUUGGGAGCUGGGCCUGCAGGAUUAAAGGCACCUGCAGCAGAGCUUUCUCUUGACUCCUUCAAGUUGUCCUCUGACCUCCACAUGUGCUUCAAGGAGAGUGGAGUGGAGGCUGACGGUGAAUCAUUUUGGACCACAAUGAGAGACGACAGAACAAACUGAAUCAAUGUGCCUUGAUGGUGAAGAACUUUCCACUGGGGCUCAAAAGAAGAAGGGGCCAUCUGGAGGUGUCAUCUGCUAGGAGAUGAAGGCUGCAGUCUGCGUGGUAGCUGUCUCCUUAUUACAUACGGCUGCUUCAAUGUUUGCCCGCUCUAUCAGAUCAGGAAGACCGAUAUACAGUGCAUCCAUAUUUUCAGAAGCCACUGGUGUGGAAGGAGAAAAAGAACAUGAAGAACAAGUGCACUAGUAGAACUGCUAUAACCAGAAUCAUCUGGAACAUUGCCUAAUGCAUAUGCAGAUGCCAUAGAAGUGGUCCUCGGGGCACACAGGUGUUUUCUCCUUGGCCCUCAAGUAAUACGCUCAUUUAGCUGCCAGUGGUUGCCUGGAGGGAACUGUUUGCUUCCUGCAUCUCAGGAACCGCAUGUGUCCGGCAAUGGACAUCAUCACAGACCCAGUUGUAGCAGGACUAUGGACCCAUACAUGGCCCUCAGUAGCAGCUCAGGACCAGAUGCCACCAUAAUCCCAGUGACCGCACAGACCAGCACAAAGGUAUGUAAUAUUUUAACCUUCAGAGCAGAUCUGGAUGUUAUAUCCCCACCCAUCCAGU